UAGGGAAUUUUCGGCAAUGGGGGAAACCCUGACCGAGCAACGCCGCGUGAAUGAUGAAGUAUUUCGGUAUGUAAAAUUCUUUUAUAGAGGACGAAUGUUACUAAUAGGAAAUGAUUAGUAAGUGACGGUACUUUAUGAAUAAGCCCCGGCUAACUAUGUGCCAGCAGCCGCGGUAAUACAUAGGGGGCAAGCGUUAUCCGGAAUUAUUGGGCGUAAAGGGUGCGUAGGCGGCAUAUUAAGUCUGAGGUGAAAGUGCGGGGCUCAACCCCGUGAUGCCUUGGAAACUGAUAAGCUAGAGUGUGGUAGAGGCAAGUGGAACUCCAUGUGUAGCGGUAAAAUGCGUAAAUAUAUGGAAGAACACCAGUGGCGAAGGCGGCUUGCUAGGCCAUUACUGACGCUGAGGCACGAAAGCGUGGGGAGCAAACAGG
rnacentral:rRNA from 2 species